AUUGAACGCUGGCGGCAGGCCUAACACAUGCAAGUCGAACGAGCGGCGGACGGGUGAGUAAUGUCUGGGAAUCUGCCCGAUGGAGGGGGAUAAAUACUGGAAACGGUAGCUAAUACCGCAUACUAUCGGAUGUGCCCAUAUGGGAUUAGCUAGUAGGUGGGGUAAAGGCUCACCUAGGCGACGAUCCCUAGCUGGUCGGAGAGGAUGACCAGCCACACUGGAACUGAGACACGGUCCAGACUCCUACGGGAGGCAGCAGUGGGGAAUAUUGCACAAUGGGCGCAAGCCUGAUGCAGCCAUGCCGCGUGUAUGAAGAAGGCCUUCGUGUUGUAAAGUACUUUCAGCGGUGAGGCGUUACCCGCAGAAGAAGCACCGGCUAACUCCGUGCCAGCAGCCGCGGUAAUAC
rnacentral:rRNA from 1 species